rnacentral:tRNA from 1 species
CGGCGUGUAGCUCAGCAGCAGAGCACCGGACUUGGAUCCAGAGGGCGCAGGGGCAGCACCUGCCGCGUCGGCCA